UACGUAGGGGGCUAGCGUUGUCCGGAAUCAUUGGGCGUAAAGAGCGUGUAGGCGGCCCGGUAAGUCCGCUGUGAAAGUCGGGGGCUCAACCCUCGAAUGCCGGUGGAUACUGUCGGGCUAGAGUGCGGAAGAGGCGAGUGGAAUUCCAGGUGUAGCGGUGAAAUGCGUAGAUAUCUGGAGGAACACCGGUGGCGAAGGCGGCAUCCUGGACCAUGACUGACGCUGAGGAGCGAAAGCCAGGGGAGCAAACGGG
rnacentral:rRNA from 1 species